GAAUCCCGUCUUUGACAUGGACUGCCUGCGCAUUAUGGUGUGCUCUCGAAGAGUCGAGUUGUUUGGGAAUGCAGCUCAAAAUGGGUGGUAAAUGCCAUCUAAAGCUAAAUAUUGGCGAGAGACCGAUAGCGAACAAGUACCGUGAGGGAAAGAUGAAAAGAACUUUGGAAAGAGAGUUAAACAGUACGUGAAAUUGCUGAAAGGGAAACGCUUGAAGUCAGUCGCAUCGGCCAGAAAUCAGCCUUGCUUUUGCUUGGUGUACUUUCUGGUUUCCUGAUGGGUCAGCAUCAAUUUUGACCAUUGGAUAAAGUCUUUGGGAAUGUAGCAUCCUCGGAUGUGUUAUAGCCCAUUGUCGUAUACGAUGGUUGGGAUUGAGGAACUCAGCACGCUCUGUAACAGGGGCCAGGUCUUUUUUGAUCAUGUCCGUGCUUAGGAUGCUGGCAUAAUGGCUUUAAUCGACCCGUCUUGAAACACGGACCAAGGAGUCUAACAUGCCUGCGAGUGUUUGGGUGGAAAACCCAUGCGCGUAAUGAAAGUGAAAGGUUGAGAUCUCUGUAAAGGAGAGCAUUGACGCCCGGACCAGAGCUUCUGUGACGGAUCCGCGGUAGAGCAUGUAUGUUGGGACCCGAAAGAUGGUGAACUAUGCCUGAAUAGGGUGAAGCCAGAGGAAACUCUGGUGGAGGCUCGUAGCGAUUCUGACGUGCAAAUCGAUCGUCAAAUUUGGGUAUAGGGGCGAAAGACUAAUCGAACCAUCUAGUAGCUGGUUCCUGCC
rnacentral:rRNA from 1 species